UACGAAGGGGGCUAGCGUUGCUCGGAAUCACUGGGCGUAAAGCGCACGUAGGCGGCUUGUUUAAGUCAGGGGUGAAAUCCUGGAGCUCAACUCCAGAACUGCCUUUGAUACUGGCGAGCUUGAGUUCGGGAGAGGUGAGUGGAACUGCGAGUGUAGAGGUGAAAUCGUAGAUAUUCGCAAGAACACCAGUGGCGAAGGCGGCUCACUGGCCCGAUCUGACGCUGAGGUGCGAAAGCGUGGGGAGCAAACAGG
rnacentral:rRNA from 1 species